AUCGCUUUUCGGCCUUUUGGCUCAGAUCAAGUGUAGUAUCUGUUUUUAUCAGUUUAAUAUUUGAUACGUCCCCCAUCGGGGGACUACAUAUUAAAUGGAUUUUUUGAACAGGGAGUCGGAAAUGGGGCUUGCUCCGUCCGCUCCACGCAUUGACCCGGUAUUGCAGUACCUCCGGGAACGGUGCAACACUU
rnacentral:snRNA from 8 species